rnacentral:misc_RNA from 1 species
UCUCGGCUUAUCACCGGCAGUCCCCUUAGAGUGCCCAACUGAAUGCUGGCAACUAAGGGCGAGGGUUGCGCUCGUUGCGGGACUUAACCCAACAUCUCACGACACGAGCUGACGACAGCCAUGCAGCACCUGUGUAGGCUGGUAUUGCUACCUCGUCGCGCUUUCACGCUUCUACUACCUACAUGUCAAGGCCAGGUAAGGCUCUUCGCGUUGCAUCGAAUUGAGCCACAUACUCCACCGCUUGUGCAGGCCCCCGUCAAUUUCUUUGAGUUUUAAUCUUGCGACCGUACUCCCCAGGCGGCGCAUUUAACGCGUUAGCUUCGCCACGGACGGGGUCGAUUCCGCCCACAGCAAAUGCGCACCGUUUACGGCUAGGACUAC